GCAGUGCAUGCUGGGGGUUGUAGUUGAGUGAGGUUCCACUGUGCAGGGGCGUGGGAGGCCAGUCCUGUUGCGCAGUGACUGGAAAGCACUGGAGCCUCUACAUCAUCCUCGCUAUCACUGCAAUUUGUUCUGCCACUACUUCGGCUAAAUGUUCACUCUUAGCCCUAGAUAGAUAGCCCCAAGCCUUCUAUUUCUCCAUCAUAGAAACAAACAAGGAGAAUCUGCUAUGACCAAGAGCUGUGGAAACAGUGACCUUUGGAAGGUGGCAUAAUAGCUGCCAUGAAUUGUGUGGAAACACUCUCAACUUCAUGAACACACAGGAAGAUGCACAAGGAUCAACAGUGACGAGGAAA